rnacentral:rRNA from 1 species
UACAGAGGGGGCAAGCGUUAUUCGGAAUUAUUGGGCGUAAAGGGCGCGUAGGCGGCAUCGCAAGUGGAAGGUGAAAUCCCUCGGCUUAACCGAGGAACUGCCAUCCAGACUGCUUGGCUUGAGACCGGGAGAGGUGAGUGGAAUUCCCAGUGUAGCGGUGAAAUGCGUAGAUAUUGGGAGGAACACCAGUGGCGAAGGCGGCUCACUGGACCGGUACUGACGCUGAGGAGCGAAAGCCAGGGGAGCAAACGGG